CUACGGGGUGCAGCAGUGAGGAAUAUUGCACAACGGGGGGAACCCUGAUGCAGCAACGCCGCGUGGAGGAUGACGCAUUUCGGUGUGUAAACUCCUUUUAUAUGUCAAGAAAAUGACGGUAGCAUAUGAAUAAGCGCCGGCUAACUCCGUGCCAGCAGCCGCGGUAAUACGGAGGGCGCAAGCGUUACUCGGAAUCACUGGGCGUAAAGGACGCGUAGGCGGGUUGAAAAGUCAGGUGUGAAAGCCUACAGCUUAACUGUAGAACUGCACUUGAAACUCUCAACCUAGAGUAUGGGAGGGGCAGAUGGAAUUAGUGGUGUAGGGGUAAAAUCCGUAGAUAUCACUAGGAAUACCUAAAGCGAAGGCGAUCUGCUGGAACAUUACUGACGCUAAGGCGUGAAAGCGUGGGGAGCAAACAGGAUUAGAUACCCGGGUAGUC
rnacentral:rRNA from 1 species